rnacentral:pre_miRNA from 14 species
GCUGACCCUUGCUUACUUCCUUUGACGGGUGAGCUUUUGGCCCGGGUUAUACCUGACUCUCACGUAUAAGACGAGCAAAAAGCUUGUUGGUCAGAGGAGCUAUCGUCUCUCAGCCUG